rnacentral:rRNA from 1 species
UUCGCCGCCGGUGUUGUUGUGAGAAGUUCAUUAAACCUUAUCAUUUAGAGGAAGGAGAAGUCGUAACAAGGUUUCCAUAGGUGAACGCGCAAGGAUCAUUGAACACACGAUCUCGGAAAAACUCUGCGAACUGUCACUUUGUACCACGAGGGAUCGUGCCGGGAGGCACGAUCGUCGGAGUCUCGAGUCGAGGAUGCAUGUGCGUCAGCCGUGAUCCUGCUGCUGGUGCGUGUUGGGGAUGAAAGACUCGGGAGCUCAGUCGGAAAACCCCCGACACGCGGGGGUCCAUGUUCCCGGACAGCGAGCGGUCAAGGAGAGAGCAAUAACCCGUGGACUCGGUCGAACUGGGGACGGCGAGCAGCCAUCCAAAGGGGGGCCGCGGGCGCAGCUCUCUCCCCGGCAGGUCGCCCCGGGGCUCGAGAUUCGGAGUGUUUUCCCCUCCUCCGCGGGACGGGAGCCGGGAUCGCCUGGGCGGGCCUCCUGCGGGGGCCGCCCAUCGGAGACCCGUCCCUCCCUCGGUGCCCUUUUUUUUCUCACACAAGGAACUUGAUGAAACCGUGAGGUGAUGGAUUUAGGAGGACGAGGGUCUUGGGUCCGGGGAAGCAUCGCCUCUCGGGGUGGAGCUGACCCGGCGGCCUGAAGUUCGAAAGAUACACAAAACACAAAUGACUCUCAGCAACGGAUAUCUUGGCUCUUGCAACGAUGAAGAACGCAGCGAAAUGCGAUACCUAGUGUGAAUUGCAGAAUUCCGCGAAUCAUCGAGUUUUUGAACGCAAGUUGCGCCCGAGGCUUGUUCCAAGGGCAUGCCUGCCUGAGCGUCCGCUCCGACCCACCCACCAGUCCCUCGUCCUACUCCGCAAAGGGGGGGUUGUGGGGUGCGGGUGGAACUGAUUGUCCGGGAACCUGCUCCUACUCUUGGGGGAAGGAAGGGCGAAGGCUUCGCGGUCGGCUGAAACAUGAUGGCCGUUUGUCAAGCGCGCGCUAGGGUCCAUGGUGCGUAGCGGGAAGGUGCCGUCCGGCUCCCGUCCGUUCGGAUGGGAGGCGGGCGUUCAUAUGCAAAGCUUCGCAUCGUCCCUGCGCAGUCGAGAGUUGGCGGACAAGGCCAGGAAGGACAUGGGGGCGGCAGUGGGUCCGCUUGGUGCAUCCUUCUCCCAUGGAGGAGGCCCCUUUUGCGAGGGGUCAUUUCUUGGGAGGAGAUAAGCCCAGACGGGCCCACAGGCGUCACGUUGCUCGGACCUCAGAUCAGGCAAGACCACCCGCUGAGUUUAA